ACACUCGAAAGUGCUCUUGUUGACAUGCAAAGGUUUAAAAAAAAGAAAGAAUUCUGCACGAGAAAUCCUCACUGAGGUCCAAAAUCUCAAUGGGAACUAGCCAAACAGCUAACGAAAUGGCUGCUUUAGUUGAAAAGGGCUUAGAAAUCCAUGUUUCUCACAUACGGCCUUGUGUUUCUGAUAGAGGAGCUACUGUCUCAUGUUUGGUCCAUGAAUCAUGGCUCAAAGAUAUCAUCAAUAACCCAGGUGAUAUUCUCCGUUGUAAAUACAUCCAUCCAUCAUCGGAGUAUGAGAGGCAGCUAAUGUUACAACCCUCGCAUAUUGGUCCAUACCCUCCAUGGGCUAGGGUAUGCAUCAAGAUGUUACAAAAACCCAUUGUAGUUGGAAGUUCUGAAAGAUUAAUCAGAACAAGAAGUCGACAAUGCAGUUCUGAGUUCACAAUGGGGUUGACAGUAGCAGAGCUUAUGAAUGCUGUUAAUCAGGAGGCAUUCAGACACAACUGGAAUGAAGCAGUGGAAAAGUAUUCAUUGGCAAUGGCAUAUCUUCCCAAAUCUAGACAGGAAGCACUGGAUGGAAAGGAGAUUGUCAAGAAAAUUGUGAAAGACGUUUUUGGUCUGUCAGUCAUCUCUUUAGGAAGAAAAGAAGACACAAAACAUAGUUCUGUUCUUCCCGAUAACGACAGCAACAAUGAGCUUAACUCAACUGAAGAUUACACAUCCAGUAUGAAUGAGCCAGAGACAGAGCAAUCUAAUGUCAUACCACUAGUGUGUGUACUUGAAAAUAAUGAUGCUUUCUUCUUCGUCGAACCUUUCUUUCAACAUGGACUGCAAGAUGUUUCAAUGUUCAGCCCUGCAGUGGUGUCUCACUCAACCAUCCGCCUCAUGUACAUCAUUUAUCAAGUACUAAAUGCAUUGAAUUGGUACCACAAGAAUAAUGUCACUUUUGGGAAACUUAGUCUUGACAGUAUCAGGUUGGACAAGGGACUCUUUUUGUAUUUGACCACACCUUUGUUCAAAGAUAUUCUUGUCUUUCAAAACCAAGAACAACUGUCUGGAGAUUUCUCCUCUGCAUCGUACACAAAUAUUAACUUUGAUGAUUCCAAAUCUAUUAGUUCAACAGCACAAGACAAAAAUACAGAGCUUAAAGAAUCUGUAAAUGAAGAGAGAUUGCUUCCUGUCUCUGAUUUAAAGAAACCAGAGCAUGAUUUAUUAACACUAGUUGACAUGUGGGUGCGAGAUGAGAUUUCUAAUUAUGACUAUCUAAUGGCUCUGAACUACUUUGCAGGUCGUCGUCAAGGCGACCCCAACUACCACCCUUUGUUUCCAUGGGUAACAGACUUCACAGAUAAGAAUGGUGGAUUUAGAGAUCUGACAAAGACCAAGUUUCGACUCAAUAAAGGAGAUAACCAGCUUGAUAUGACUUAUAAACAGGCUUUAUUUGAUACUCAUGACACAGGUGUGUCAGCAGUCGCUCAUCAUGUGUCAGAUGUUCUUUCAGAUAUUACUUAUCAUGCUUAUCUUGCCCGCCGCACGCCUGUGUCAGUUUUAUGUGAACAUUUGAGGUCUAACUGGGUACCCAAUGAAUACCCAUCAUCAAUGCAGCGGCUUUAUACCUGGACACCUGACGAAUGUAUCCCUCAGUUCUAUUCAGAUCCUACCAUUUUUAAAUCCAUACAUGAUGACUUGCCUGACCUGGCAUUACCUUCCUGGACACCUACAGCUGAGGACUUCAUCAGGUGGCAUCGAAGUGUGCUGGAGAGUGAAGAGGUAUCAGGCCAUCUGCAUCAAUGGAUUGAUCUGACAUUUGGCUACAAGUUGAGUGGAAAGGCAGCAGUCAAAGCCAAGAAUGUAUGCCUUCAUUUAGUAAAUAAACAUCAGAUUGUUAAUAACUAUGGUGUGGUGCAGCUCUUCAGCAAGCCACACCCUUCACAGGCCAAGACAUCGGACAUUGUUAAACUAGCUACGAGCUGCCACGCCCCUUUAGUUCAUAUUACCAAUGAACAAGGGGAGCCUUCAAGCAUUGGACAGAUGAAUAUGACCUCUUACUUAAGAUCAAAUUUGAACGAUUCCCUGAUGUCUCUAGAUAGCAUUGAGGAUAGUUCCCAUGAUGCAGGGUCACAUGGUCAGCAUGCCGUAGAGCCCAUUUCUACUGCUGACCCCCUUCAGAGCAGCUCAUCGUCCAUGAACUUCAGCUUACUGAUCGGAGGAAAAGAAGUAGUCGAUGAGAAUUUUAAGCUGCUUGAGACAGAAAAAAUCUACCUUCCAGAAGAUUGUACUCCUUUACAGCUGCUAGACACUUAUGAGUCCAUCCAUAAGUUUAAGCGGCAAUUCCCUGUUGCUAAGGAGCGACAACAAAGUAUCGAAAGGCCAGAGGUUGUAAUAGAUGACUCUGUGUUUGACAAGCUGAUUCAGACUGAUAUUGAAUGGCUCGGAUGUCUGAUAGUAGAGAUGGUUCUACCCGAGAAGGUGCGACUGGUCUCGGCUGGGUUAACACGAGAGCAAAGGGCUGAGGCAAUAAAGCAUUUGUGUUCUUCGAAUCCAAAGAUCUUACCAAGAUUUGUGAGGAGUGGGGUCCUUAGAAUGCUGAAGUUACAUUCAUCAGAAGAUAGCAGCAUCCACGAGGGAUCGACAGAUUACAGAAAAUGGGAAAAUGAAAAAGAUUCCCUUCCAUCUCUUUCCACUGGACUUUUACUCCAUCCUCAGACAGGACUAUUCCCAUUUCCUUCAUACUUCAGAGACUUACAUUCCUUCCUCGUCAAGUUCACCAGAGCUCGCCUCAAACUUCGCUACGAAAACCCGCAGAACCUAGAGAGAUCCCUCGGACAUCCCUUCCCGAGGAUAUCCCUCGAGGGACUCGAACACUGUUUCAGUAACAAGUCCGAAUACUCGACCCUUCAGGUUGACAUAGCAACGGAGCUGAUUCCUUCAUUACUGCCCGAGUUAGAUGACGAAGGGAUUCACUUACUGUUGUAUCAUCUAGAGCCUUUGUUUUUGAAUCAGGAUACACGCCUUUACGCUUUUACGCACCUCUUUGAUCUCCUUGCUCAAGCUAUUGGCCCCAAGGUUACCGUUAAGACUUUCCUGAAGCCAUUAAUCGAGCUCUACGACUCUAAGAUGCUGCACAACUAUGAACACCUUGCUGCGCAGUCGUUUUUGUCUCAGAUUAUCGUGCGCUUCGGACUUGAAACCUUUUUGAUUCAUUUCGCAAGCUUCGUCGUCGAUGCGGUCGCGUUUGAGUUAAUGUUACAGAAGACGAAGCGCUCACCCGAUAGCAACUCUGUCAACAGCAAUGAUGGGAUCACUGUUGAUGGUGGAGAGAGUGAAAGUGAGAAGUUAAAGGAUCAGAAGCUGAUGAAGAAGCAGCCGUCAUACCCGAGCGACGAUGAUGAUGAAGAUGUUGGGAACGCGCCAUUCAGUGAUCAGGAUGAAGAUGAUUAUAUUCCAAGAAUAGAUGAGCCUUAUGAAGAACAAGAACGUUUCCAUGAGCCAGUCUUAUCGCCCCAAGAAGACAAGGAAGAUGCGUUACAAGAAGAAGAAAAGGACAAAGGUAUAUUUGUCGAUGAUGACGAGAACAAGGAUGGACAACCGGAUGAAGUGGGCCAUGAUGAGACUCUGGAGCUUGAAACUGAAAAGUCUAGAGAAGAUGAAUUUAACCCUGUUUCUAGUGGAAAUGAUGAGGAAGAUGGUGCUAACAAACAUGAACAGAUGGAAGAAGCUGAAAAACUAUUACAAUACCAAGAGAAUUUUUCAACUUUACCAGGAGAACAACCAACUACCCAGAAAGAAGACGGCAAGGGGGAAGAAGAUAGCAAUAAGGAGACAACUGAAGAAAGUAAUUUUGAAGGAACUGAAGAUAAAGAUGAUGUAGGUCAUGAGGAAAUAGCUCGUGAAAGAAAAGGAAAUUUAAUGGCGGAUGUCACUGAAGAUGUUGAUGAAAAUGGCUCGAAGGAAGAUAGUUUGAUAAAGGGAGAAGCAAAUGAAGAAGAAGAAAGGAGGGGAGAUGAUGAUGGCGACGACGGUGAUGAUGAUGAUGAUGGUGGUGGUGAUGACAAUCACUCCGGCGAUGAAGCAGACGAUGAAUCAUCAGGAAACCUCCUCAAAGAAAGUGAAGAAGACUCAGAACCCAAACGUCCUUCGGCCGAUGUCUUCUACCAAGAUACCAAACAAGAUAAUAAAGAAUACGAGCCACCCAAGGAAGACCUCAGCACGUCUUAUGUAUCAGGGAUCGCUGCAGAGAGUGUCAUGUGGCUGGCACCUCGCUUGGGGCCCAUCCUGACUUCCAAGUACUUUGCCAAUCAACUCCUAACCAUGUUACCUCAGUGCUACAUCGAUGUGGUCGGUGUAGAAGAGUAUGAGUUUGAGGAUGAGGAUCGUAAGGCCAAAUGGGUGCUGUAUUGUCUAGGAAACUUUUGUGCGUUGUAUGGAGAGGCGUUUGUUCUGCAUCAGUACUUGCCAUAUGCCGAAAAAAUAAUCAAAGCUAUCCACACCAAGUUCAGCGCACGCGGUGAAGCCUCUCUAGCAGCUACCUUUGCUCUCCUCAAAUACUGCAUCCCUUAUAUGUCCAAAGAAACCUUCGUCGAUAACUUCGAGACGUUAUUCAAGUCUCUGUUUCAGCCAGUUCUUCGGAUCCUGUCUUCUUGGAAUACCAAGUUUCCUGGGGGAGGGGACGCAAGGGCAGCGCUUUGUCAUAACUACGUUGACCUUUUAACCGUGUUGAGCCUAAAGCUCGAGCGUGAGCUUGCAAGAGAACUCAUGAUAGCUCCUCUGCAGCAGUUUUUCUCUUGUUUCGAGUUGGUUCACCUGAAGAAGAAGGAAUAUAAGUUGGGAAGGUCUUCCUUUAUUGUGGUGUCAAGUUCGGUUUCUCUUACAGAUUCUCCUGUGCCACAGAUACCUGAGACACAAGGUCUAGAAGGGGACAUCACAAAACCAGAGCAAGUGGAAGCGUUCUACAAGACAUCCAUGUACGAAGAGCUUUGUCAAACAUUUUCUGCAGCCAUGGCACACCACGCCUUCGUUCCCUUGUGUGGCAUCAUGGGAAGCAAGUUCAUGGAAGCAUCUCUUUACAACCAUGACCUUAUUUGGAAUCUCUGCUGCCAACACGAUCCACAGCUAUCCCACCCAAGAACGGAUGACGUCGAGUCAUGUGACCACGAUGACGUUAAUAACGGUCAAAAGCUUAAAGACGAUUGUGACGCAGAGGUGGAGAGAACACUCGUGGAGGAAACGAGAGAAACACACGAAGGUGAAGACAAAUUAUUAAAUAUCAAAAAGGGAUCAAGGCUAAGGACGCCAUCUUGGUUAAGCGCGCGACGAGGUGAAAAACGUAAAAACCAAGAUAUAGGGAAGCCAGAAGUGAUGUCUGCAUCAGAUCAAUAUCUACGAGGAAGCUGGCUAGAACACUGGGAACACCAGCUUGUGUCGAACGAGAGAGGCCAGCGCAGAUUGUCAUUCGACUUACGACAGACUAAGCUUCAAACGUUUACAGGGCAUAGUGGUCCAGUUCGUUCGAUCUACGUCCAAGACAGCGAGCACUUUUUUCUUUCUGCUAGUAAAGAUAAGACCGUCAAACUAUGGUCUCUGAGUAACCAUGGCGAUGGGACAGCGCAGUCGGCCAGUUCUUGGACUUACCAACGCCAUUCGCGUGGAGUGUUUACUGUAGAUAUGAUAGAAUCUGUGCGUCAAGCAGUCUCCUGUGAUGGCUCUGUCCAUGUCUGGGAUCCUGUAAAUGGUAGCACCAUAACCAUUCUGGAACCCAACAAGAACAGUUCUUUGGUUGCCAUGGCAGCCAUGCCAGCACCCAGUCAGUCUGUUGUUGUCGCUACGUCAGAAGCCACUGCAAGAUUUAUUGAUGUCCGCCAGUCGCGUUUCGUUCAAGAAUGGAAAACAACGACGAGCAGCGCGCCAGGUUUAGUGCGAGAUAUUUGCUGUUCUCCCGAUGGUCGAUGGGUAGCUUUGGGAUUCACAUCGGGGCUGGUAUCCGUACUUGAUGUACGUGGUGGGUUACUACGCAGUCAAAGACGAGCACAUACCAGUGAUGUAGUCCAAGUACGUGCGUUUUCUAACAACUCACUUCUAACUUCAUCAAUGGACCAAGGACUAUCUCUCUGGAAGGAUGACGGACUGAGGCUAAAGAAUAUCAAAGGUCACACAGAACCGCUUCACCUCCUCAUCGUCCAGAAAGACUACAUAUUAUCAUCAAGCAUAGCUAAUCGUAUAGGCGUUCACAUAACAAAAGAUGAGCCUACAGAGGGAUCGUACAUCGGCUACAAGCUGUCAUCUGAGGUAUUGCGUGGGAAUGUGACGUCACUUGGUUAUCUCCAACUCAACCAGCUGUUGUUGCUAGGAAGCGAUACAGGCAAUAUUACUCUGUGUGCAUAAAGAUAUGUAGUAGUAUCGAUUGCAUACCAUUUAUUCGUGAAAAACGUUUUAAGAAAUUGCACAAAUUUGCACAAAUUAGUAAGUUCAGUAGAUCUCAGUACACCGUAGACCUACAAAACUUUGCACUAUUUUGUACAAUUUUGUUAGUUUUCACGAAUAUAUGGUAUGCACUUUAUUUUGUUAGAAAUAUCUACAUAGACAUUUGCCGGGAAGGGUAUGGCUACAAAUAUAAUUCCACAGGAACCUCAACCACGAAACAUUCUGGUUGUUGUGUUUCGCUGUGGGUGGUUUUCCAAGAUGGCAAUGAUUUAGACAUCGUUCCUUGAUACCUAUGAACAAACUAUUUUUUCUCCUUUGGACAAGCUUUAAACUAUUAACCUUCAGUAAAGGUUAUUUCUUUGUUAAACUGCAUUCAUUUAAGAGACUUUUUUAUCUAGUAAACAAUCAGCUAAAGAUUAAAGCGAAGCCGAAACAGCUGAAAACUGACAGAAAUAGAUGGCGGAAGUGAUUAUCUUUAACAAUUCAAAAUCAAUAGAAAAAUAAUAUCUUAAAGAUAUCUUUGGAAUAGAUUUAUUGUAUAUUUUUGAAAUGCUUGGUAUUAUGAUUUUUUUGAUAUUUUACAUUUUAUACUUUAUCAUUAUUUUUUCAAUUAGGAGGGUUUGAUUUGCUGUUGUUGUUGUUGUUGAUGAUGAUGAUGAUGAUGAUGAUGAUGAUUCUGAAAGAUUUUAAUAGAAUAACCAAUUUUUGUCUCUUGUUUGUAAAACAAGACUACUUACAAAAAAAUUAUAUAAAAACCGCCUUUUUUAAACAUCGGUUGUUUCGCGGCAAAACAACAAGGAUCGGAUGAAGACUGGAAAUGUAAUUUUUACUGGAAGACUUUUGAAAAAAUUUCGUGUCAAUCAGAGAUCGAUGGUUAUCUAGAAAGAAUCUCAAACAUGCUGCACUUUAUAGGUUUUCCUAUCUCACUUCACGACUUUCAACCAAUCAAAUCCCAAACAUACUGCACUUUAUAGGUUUCCCUUCUCACUUCAAGAAUUUCAACCAAUCAAACCCAAACAUGCUGCACUUUAUAGGUUUCCCUAUCUCUCAAAACUUUCAACCAAUCAAAUCCCAAACAUGCUGCACUUUAUAGGUUUCCCUAUCUCACUCCAAGGCCUUCAACCAAUAAAAUCCCAAAUAUACUGCACUUUAUAGGUUUCCCUAUCUUUCUUCACGUCUGUCCAUCAUGGCAUCAUUGUCAGACAUGCAGACGCAUGCAAUCAGCUUCCAUUUUAUAGUUGAUUGAAAUCCAUAUCUAAAACGAUUGUAAAUAUCUCAAAGGCAUGAAAUUAUUUUUACGGUAAUGUUUUUCGAAAUAAACUGAGAAAUUGGUA